CGGGGGGGGGGUGUCGUAGGUGACCUGCGGAGGAUCAUUACCUAGAGUUGUAGGCUUUGCCUGCUAUCUCUUACCCAUGUCUUUUAAGUACCUUCGUUUCCUCGGCGGGUUCGCCCGCCGAUUGGACAAUUUAAACCAUUUGCAGUUGCAAUCAGCGUCUGAAAAAACUUAAUAGUUACAACUUUCAACAACGGAUCUCUUGGUUCUGGCAUCGAUGAAGAACGCAGCGAAAUGCGAUAAGUAGUGUGAAUUGCAGAAUUCAGUGAAUCAUCGAAUCUUUGAACGCACAUUGCGCCCCUUGGUAUUCCAUGGGGCAUGCCUGUUCGAGCGUCAUUUGUACCUUCAAGCUCUGCUUGGUGUUGGGUGUUUGUCUCGCCUCUGCGUGUAGACUCGCCUCAAAACAAUUGGCAGCCGGCGUAUUGAUUUCGGAGCGCAGUACAUCUCGCGCUUUGCACUCAUAACGACGACGUCCAAAAGUACAUUUUUACACUCUUGACCUCGGAUCAGGUAGGGAUACCCGCUGAACUUAA
rnacentral:rRNA from 1 species